UAAAAUUAGUAUACUUUGAAUCAAGAGAGCAUGAAAUUCAUUUUUAGCUUAGAUAUUAUUUUAUAGGAUCAAGGGGGAAAAAAUGCAAGACCCGUCAACAUCUUUUCUCUAGUUAUUAGUGUUCUGAGAGGCACGGGUAUAGUUAUUCCGAAAUCGAUUCAUAAAGCGAGGCUUUUUUUUUUUUUUUCUAUACGGCGUCGGAUGAUAAAUUGUCUCAGUUUUCCGCCGUUCCACCUCACUUGCAAUCGUCACAGGAGUGGUUUAUCCGUUUUAUUUAUUGUCUAUGAUGCUUUCGACACAACGUCGUCCGACGGGCGUGCCCGGGGAUUUUCAACGGACCGGGACGUAGAGAACAUAAUAUUAUCAUAACGAUGUUAAACAAAUCUUCUUCUCUCGAAUCGACUCGGAAGUCGGAUGCGAAAAAUGUCAGCUAAAAUCGACCGGCAUGUUUCGAGAUUAAAUCACCCGAAGUGGUCGCGAGGAAAACAAAUGCAAAGGGGUGAGCUGGGAUGGAGGGGGUGUGUAACCGUUAACCGAUUUUGAUUGUCUCUAAUGCCGUACAUUUACUUUUAUCGCGCAUGAUUGCAUACCAUUCUAAACCAUAUCGACGUGAAAUAUUUCUAGAAUAAAACCUUUUACCCGUUUCGUCCCG